rnacentral:rRNA from 1 species
CAAGGAAUCUUCCGCAAUGGGCGAAAGCCUGACGGAGCAACGCCGCGUGUGGGAUGACGCCUUUCGGGGUGUAAACCACUUUUCUCAGGGAAGAAGCACUGACGGUACCUGAGGAAGAAGGACCGGCUAACUACGUGCCAGCAGCCGCGGUAAUACGUAGGGUCCGAGCGUUGUCCGGAGUUACUGGGCGUAAAGCGCGCGCAGGCGGCGGUGUAAGCAUGGCGUGAAAGCCCCAGGCUCAACCUGGGAGGGUCGGCGUGGACUGCACCGCUUGAGGGCGGUAGGGGCUGGUGGAAUGCCUGGUGUAGUGGUGAAAUGCGUAGAGAUCAGGCGGAACACCCGUGGCGAAGGCGGCCAGCUGGGCCGUCCCUGACGCUGAGGCGCGAAGGCGUGGGGAGCGAACG